GACGAACGCUGGCGGCGUGCCUAAUACAUGCAAGUCGAACGCAGUGGGGACGGGUGAUUAACACGUGGGUAACCUCCCAUCAGAGGGGAUAACCCUUGGAAACAGGUGCUAAACCGAUACUGAUGGAUGGACCCGUGGUGCAUUAGCUAGUUGGUGAGGUAACGGCGUACCAAGGCCACGAUGCAUAGCCGGCCUGAGAGGGUGAUCAGCCACACUGGGACUGAGACACGGCCCAGACUCCUACGGGAGGCAGCAGUAGGGAAUCUUCGACAAUGGGCGAAAGUCUGACCGAGCAACGCCGCGUGGGUGAAGAAGGUUUUCGGAUCGUAAAACACUGUUGUUAGAGAGGCGGUAUCUAAAGAGAAAGUCGCGGCUAACUACGUGCCAGCAGCCGCGGUAAUAC
rnacentral:rRNA from 1 species